GAUGAAGAACGUAGUGAAAUGCGAUACGUAAUGUGAAUUGCAGAAUUCAGUGAAUCAUCGAAUCUUUGAACGCACAUUGCGCCUGCCAGCACUCUGGCAGGCAUGCCUGUUCGAGCGUCAUUUCAACCAUCAAGCCCUAGGCUUGCGUUGGAGCCCUGCGGCUGCCGCAGGCCCCUAAAAGCAGUGGCGGGCUCGCUAUCACACCGAGUGCAGUAGAUUACUCUUCGCUCAGGGCGUGUGGCGGGUUCCAGCCGUGAAACCCCCUACUUCUCAAGGUUGACCUCGGAUCGGGUAGGAAUACCCGCUGAACUUAAGCAUAUCAAUAAGCGGAGGA
rnacentral:misc_RNA from 1 species